GCUUAGCUGCGGGGACGUUAACAAACCAUCACCAGUUGACACACGAAGUUGGUGGGAGAUGAUAAGCACAGCAUAAACACAAAAACAGACACACUGACACGGUCGAGAGAUCAGUCAUGUGACUCCAUCGUUGACUUGUCAGACUUGUGGUAGCGACAGAAGACAUCUUAAUUGUUCAUUCAAGAUUGUGUAACUACAAAUAGCCGUCUGGAAAAUGAUUACAGAUUACAAAUAACAUAUUCACGGAAUCAACGAAAUCACAGCGACCACAACAACAGCAAAUACAUAAGUCAUUUGACUGUGGCCAUGCUGGAGCACCGCCU
rnacentral:lncRNA from 1 species